rnacentral:misc_RNA from 1 species
GAUGAAGAACGUAGCGAAAUGCGAUACUUGGUGUGAAUUGCAGAAUCCCGUGAACCAUCGAGUCUUUGAACGCAAGUUGCGCCCGAAGCCAUUAGGCCGAGGGCACGCCUGCCUGGGCGUCACACGUCGUUGCCCCCCCAUCUACUCCUUCGGGAUUGCGGGGGGCGGAUGAUGGCCUCCCGUGCGCCUCGUCGCGCGGUUGGCCUAAAUGCCAAGUCCUCGGCGACGCACGCCACGACAAUCGGUGGUUGCGAAACCUCGGUUGCCCGUCGUGUGCGGUCGUCGCGCAUCGAGGGCUCGAAAAAAUUGCCGGGCUUCGGCUCGACUUUCAACGCGACCCCAGGUCAGGCGGGGUUACCCGCUGAAUUUAAGCAUAUCAAUAAGGGAGGA